GAUGGUGAUACACAGCUGCUUUGAAAGAUAAUAAACGAAACCAUGCCCAAAUGAGCUAUGCUUCUGUUGUGCAGAGACAACAGGCUGCCUCGCUAAACGAUGCACACCUGUAACUCACGUGACCCUGGUUAUUAUUGAAACAAGAACGAGGGCGUCGUGCCUUUAUAAGACUGCGUUAAUAGUUCCGUAGAGUUAUCCCUUCCGUUGUUGUUUAUUGAUUGUUAAACAUGGCGUCAUUUGCAAAGGUGGUUGUGUGUGUCCUCAUUGCUUGUGACUGUAAUGCAUUCGGUUUUCCGAAGAGAGAUGUGAACUUAAAGGCCUCUGCAGUUGACCGCCAAAGUGAUGAUGUGGUUGUCACCACAACACCCGUUCCCCACAACCAGACCACCUCUGCCCCUACUGAAGCUGGUGGUGGUGCAAGUGAAGAUGCUGUGGCUACUACCCCAGCACCUAAUCCACACAACCAGACAACUUCUGCACAAACUGAAGUUACUGAUGGGGCCAGUGAAGAUGCUGUGGACCGCCAAAGUGAUGUGGUUGUCGCCACAACACCCAAUCCCCACAACCAGACCACAUCUGCCCCUACUGAAGCUGGUGAUGGAGCAAGUGAAGAUGCUGUGGCUACCACCCCAACACCAAAUCCCCCAACUACAUCUGACCACACUGCAGCUACCGAUGAUGCAAGUGAGGGUGCUGUGGCUGCCCAAACUGGAGCUACUGUAUCCCAUACGACUGAAGUCUGAUUCGACUGCUCCUCUGGUCACAAUGACCUGUCUGGACUUUUUGCCUCUACAUGUUGACUGCAAUAAAGGACAGAUUUGUAUUUUUUAAUCA
rnacentral:lncRNA from 1 species